CAAAAUAUAAUAUGAAAAUUAAGUCUAUAACCUAACAUUUAAUCAAGAUAUUGAUUACAAUUUCAUUGUUGUCUGAUUAUUGUUUGAUGUACAUUAUUAUCUAAUUAUUAAUGACACUCAUUUCUUUCAACUAUUUUUUUUUUUGUCAAUUGCAAUUAAUCUAUGCAAUUUCUAAUUAUUCUUCAUUUUUGUAAUCUAUGUGACACUAUCGAUCAUCUCAUUACCACUAUGAAAAAUUAUCAUUAUUGGAAGCUUAACCACAACGACAAAAUACUGAGAUAGUAUUACUUUAUUAACUUUUGAUUGUCAUUUGAUUAAUUUUUUUUUAAAGAUUGACAUCUAAUUAUCAUACGACUGACAUGUGACUGUCUUAUAAAUUGACUUACAAAAAUAUACAAUGUUGAGUAAUUAAUCUAAUAAAGUAAUGUUGUUCUACUCCAUCCAAAUAGAAACAUAAUCAGAAGGUACCACACUAAAAAAACAAGACACUUUGAAAUACUUUUUUUAUCUCUUAAAACACAUUAAGAAAAAGAAAAGUAAUUGACGUUUAAUUACCAUAUGAUUUACAUGUGAUUAACGUAUAUUGAAAUGCGAAUGACAUGUAAUUGACAUCGGAUUAUCAUAUGAUUGUAUUUUAAAUUGUCCUACAAAAAUAUAAAAUGUUUAUUAAUUAACCUACUAAACUAAUUAAUAGAAAAUUGUAUUUGCAACUAACACAAAUGAAACUAAAAUCAAAUAUAAAUAAAAUGUCAAUCAAACUAAAAAUUUAACCAUGUACAUAUCCUACUUUCAUUGUUUUUAGUUAUGUGUUUACAACCUGUAAACAUAAUACUCAUGAAUUAGAGAGAAGCCUAAAAAAAUUAUACAAUGAUGCUGAGAUCAUGGUAGAACAUAGAAGGAGAAGAAGAAUAAAAUCGUACAAGAAAUCGUAAAGGAAGGAAAGACUACGAAAUCGAAUGAAAAAGGAGACCGAAAAUUCAAAAAUUCAAAAAUUACAGAAGAAGAAUAUGAAAAUGUUAGAGUUGGAUUGAUAUAAAAAUAAAAUCAGUAAAAGUAUGUCAAACAAAAAUUAAAGUUAUAUGUAUGGUUAGUGUUUUCUUUACAUAAUUGGAUGAACUUAAUAUUACCCAUGUUGAAGAAUCAACGAAUGAGAACAUGAACAGAAAAAAAAAAAGAAUGGAAGAGGUUGCUCACAAAUUCAUCCAUGGAAAUUCCUUCCUCCCUAGCUGCAGCUGAUUUAGUGGCCAAUUAUCAAAGCCACUUUCCUUUCAAAACACUUCACCAUUUUCCCUCUUCUCUCAUUCUUUCUCCUCAAGUGUCCCUCUAAUGGAUUCUUCCAAUAGCCUGAACAAGCCGGCCUCGAACACUCGUUACAAUCCCAGGAGAUAUGGUUGAGAUCGUUGGUGUGUAAAACAUUUGAGGGCAAAAACGGAAUAUGAAAAAAUGGAUCUUUUUUUGUCAAAGCUACAUUUUCU
rnacentral:lncRNA from 1 species